rnacentral:rRNA from 1 species
CCAGACUCCUACGGGAGGCAGCAGUGAGGAAUAUUGGUCAAUGGGCGGGAGCCUGAACCAGCCAAGUCGCGUGAGGGAUGACGGCCCUAUGGGUUGUAAACCUCUUUUGCCGGGAGCAAAGUGCCGCACGUGUGCGGUUUGGAGAGUACCCGGAGAAAAAGCAUCGGCUAACUCCGUGCCAGCAGCCGCGGUAAUACGGAGGAUGCGAGCGUUAUCCGGAUUUAUUGGGUUUAAAGGGUGCGUAGGCGGGGGCCUAGGGCAGCGGUAAAAUUGCGGGGCUAAACCUCGUCGAGCCGUUGAAACUGGGUGCCUUGAGUGGGCGAGAAGUAUGCGGAAUGCGUGGUGUAGCGGUGAAAUGCAUAGAUAUCGCGCAGAACUCCGAUUGCGAAGGCAGCAUACCGGCGCUCAACUGACGCUCAUGCACGAAAGCGUGGGUAUCGAACAGGAUUAGAUACCCCGGUAA